CCAGCUGGAGCUGCUCGCACCGCCCGCGGGGGUUCCUCCCGAUCCGGCAGCGGAAAAUGGCACCGGGGUUGGCCACGGAGCUGUUGGCAGGCCAGCUCGCUCGGGGGGCUCCCGCGACGAGCCUGGAGCUUACCGUGAGAGUUGUGGUGAAAGGAGGCUUCACCAAGGUCCAGCACCUGCAGAACAGUCAAGCCGGUUCUUGAAUGCUGAGAGUUAAGGAAGAGAUGCUGAGAACAUCAGCAGGGAGCAGUCUCUAGACACCAACGAAAGCAAACAACAAAACCACCCCCCCAAAGUCAUUUCCAUGUGCUCGAGGUCUGGGACCAGUCUCAUGAAUGAACCUGCCUCGCUCCGCUCCCCCAGCGCUUCCUGUUUGCGCCAGCGGCAGGAAGUCGUGCGACGGCGUCGCGGGUCGGUGUUU